GACGAACGCUGGCGGCGUGCUUAACACAUGCAAGUCGAGCGGGAAACUUCGGUUUCCAGCGGCGGACGGGUGAGUAACACGUGGGCAACCUGCCUCACAAUGAGGGAUAGCCUUCCGAAAGGAAGAUUAAUACCUCAUAACACAAGAGAAACGCAUGUUUCUCUUGCCAAAGAAUUUCGUUGUGAGAUGGGCCCGCGGCGCAUUAGCUUGUUGGUGAGGUAACGGCUCACCAAGGCUUCGAUGCGUAGCCGACCUGAGAGGGUGAUCGGCCACAUUGGAACUGAGACACGGUCCAGACUCCUACGGGAGGCAGCAGUGGGGAAUAUUGCACAAUGGAGGAAACUCUGAUGCAGCAACGCCGCGUGAGUGACGAAGGUCUUCGGAUUGUAAAGCUCUGUCUUCUGGGACGAUAAUGACGGUACCAGAGGAGGAAGCCACGGCUAACUACGUGCCAGCCGCCGCGGUAAUAC
rnacentral:rRNA from 1 species